rnacentral:rRNA from 1 species
UACGAAGGGGGCUAGCGUUGCUCGGAAUUACUGGGCGUAAAGCGCACGUAGGCGGCCAUGAUAGUCAGAUGUGAAAGGCCUGGGCUCAACCCGGGAAUUGCAUUUGAUACUGCAUGGCUAGAGUCCAAGAGAGGGUAGUGGAAUUCCCAGUGUAGAGGUGAAAUUCGUAGAUAUUGGGAAGAACACCAGUGGCGAAGGCGGCUACCUGGCUUGGUACUGACGCUCAGGUGCGAAAGCGUGGGGAGCGAACAGG